UCACGUGGCACGCGCAUUUUUUAACUGUUACAGGAUAUUUUCAACACCGUGGCAGCUGGGCUGAUUUGACGAGAUAACACUUAGAAAGUGGCUUAAAAUAGCUGCGGGACAUUUGCUGUUGAGCGGUUGUUGAUGUCAGAUAACGCUGUCGUGAAGGAGGCUGGGAUUUGAGACGAGCUAUUCCUGUCCGUCAGCUUCAGGCCACGCCGGUUCCAAAGAAAAGGGUCAGCAGGGUUCUUCAGUUCCCCUCGUUCUCUUUGUUGCACCCGGCUCAGUUUUCAGAACAGAAAUAGACGCUCGUGGAGCUCUGUCAUCGCUUGCCACUAACAGGUGUGCUCUCAAAAGAAGCCUGCAGAGCCUCAAGAGCAUUACACAAUCACAAGGCAUGAAGAGAAACGAAAAUAGCGGUGUGUGGGCGGAGCCUCUGGAGCUGUUCACAGGUGUACGAGUUCAGAGAGCAGAAAUACAUCACUGCUUGAGUAACUUCUCUAGAGUUUCAGAACAAUGUGGAGACUCUCACUGCGGCUAAUCUUGCACAUUUAGAAUUAACGAAUGUUUAACCAACAUGAUUAUGUUAUGCAUUAUUCUAAACCUGUCAUUAACCGGUUUGAAAUUGGAUUUUGAAUUUGGCUUCCAAUGAGCUUGGAGUUUUUUUUUUUUUUUAAGAUUUAAUUUAAAUGCAAAUUAAAGUUUUUACAGGUCGAGUGAAUUUUGAGUUAGAGUUUGAGUUGUCAUUAUUUUAAACCUGCGUGCUGUAAUUGACACAUUUGAAUUAAAGUGAGUUUUGAAAAUGUAAAAAAAAAAUAAAUAAUUAAAUUUAAGAUUGAAUUUUGAAUAUGA